GGGGUGGCAGGUAGUGGUUAGAGUGUUGGGCCAGUAACCAGCAGGUAGCCUAGUGGUUAGAGGGUUGGGGCGGCAGGUAGCCUAGUGGUUAGAGUGUUGGGCCAGUAACCAGCAGGUAGCCUAGUGGUUAGAGUGUAGGGGAGGGAGGUAGACUAGUGGUUAGAGGGUUGGGCCAGUAACCAGUGGUAGCCUAGUGGUUAGAGUGUUGGGCCAGUAACCAGCAGGUGGCCUAGUGGUUAGAGUGUUGGGCCAGUAACCAGCAGGUAGCCUAGUGGUUAGAGUGUAGGGGUGGCAGGUAGCCUAGUGGUUAGAGUGUAGGGGGUUAGGUAGUCUAGUGGUUAGAGUGUAGGGGCGGCAGGUAGCCUAGUGGUUAGAGUGUAGGGGGGUUAGGUAGCCUAGUGGUUAGAGUGUAGGGGUGGCAGGUAGCCUAGUGGUUAGAGUGUAGGGGUGGCAGGUAGCCUAGUGGUUAGAGUGUAGGGGUGGCAGGUAGCCUAGUGGUUAGAGUGUAGGGGU
ensembl:lncRNA